ACGAACGCUGGCGGCGUGCUUAACACAUGCAAGUCGAACGGAAAGGCCCUGCUUUUGUGGGGUGCUCGCGUGGCGAACGGGUGAGUAACACGUGAGUAACCUGCCCUUGACUUUGGGAUAACUUCAGGAAACUGGGGCUAAUACCGGAUAGGAGCUCCUGCUGCAUGGUGGGGGUUGGAAAGUUUCGGCGGUUGGGGAUGGACUCGCGGCUUAUCAGCUUGUUGGUGGGGUAGUGGCUUACCAAGGCUUUGACGGGUAGCCGGCCUGAGAGGGUGACCGGCCACAUUGGGACUGAGAUACGGCCCAGACUCCUACGGGAGGCAGCAGUGGGGAAUACUGCACAAUGGGCGGAAGCCUGAUGCAGCAACGCCGCGUGCGGGAUGACGGCCUUCGGGUUGUAAACCGCUUUCGCCUGUGACGAAGCGUGAGUGACGGUAAUGGGUAAAGAAGCACCGGCUAACUACGUG
rnacentral:rRNA from 1 species